ACGGGAGGCAGCAGUGGGGAAUAUUGGUCAAUGGACGGAAGUCUGAACCAGCCAAGUCGCGUGAAGGAUGAAGGUAUUAUGUAUUGUAAACUUCUUUAGUCGCAGAGAAAUAAGGAUCUCGUGAGGUCUGAUGCUAGUAUGCGAAGAAUAAGGAUCGGCUAACUCCGUGCCAGCAGCCGCGGUAAUACGGAGGAUCCGAGCGUUAUCCGGAUUUAUUGGGUUUAAAGGGUGCGCAGGCGGUCUUUUAAGUAAGUGGUCAAAUCGCGGAGCUAAAUUCCGUCCCGCCAUUGAUACUGGGAGACUUGAUUGCGGUCGAGGUUGGCGGAAUUCGUCGUGUAGCGGUGAAAUGCAUAGAGAUGACGAAGAACACCGAUUGCGUAGGCAGCUGACCAGGCCGUAAAUGACGCUCAUGCACGAAAGUGCGGGGAUCGAACAGGAUUAGAUACCCUGGUA
rnacentral:rRNA from 1 species